CAUCCCUGGGUUAGAGUAGUGUAGCCACGCCCUCCGCCUUGCCGCCUGUGGCUUCCUUGACUGAACUUCCCGGAGCCGGGCAAAGUGGGCGGGGCCGUUGUCUUUCCCUGACGGAGCUGCCGAACAGCUGCCUCUCGCGCGCGACCACCUGGCGCACCAUGCACGGCUCCCCCGCCAUCCCCGAGGAGGUCAGCAGCCUCCUUGCAGAUGUCGACACAUUUAUAUUGGAUACCCUAAAAGGAGAGAAUUUAUCCAAAAGAGCAAAGGAAAAGAGGGAUGCUCUGAUUAAGAAGAUAAAAGACAUCAAGUCCAACUACCCACAAGACUUUCCUGAAAGAGGAGAACUUGAAGAUGGGGAAGAGCGUGAAGGCCCUUGCCCUGUGCCUCCUGACAAUAUCUCUGUAGCAUCUGACCGCUGUGAUAAAGAGGAUGAAGGCCCAUCUGAUGGGAAUCAGUUCCUUCCAGUUGCAGCGCAAGACCUUCAGUGUGUUUUAAAAUCUGGGUACCUGGAAAAACGCAGAAAAGACCACAGCUUUCUUGGCUUUGAGUGGCAAAAGCGGUGGUGUGCUCUGACUCCAACAGCCUUCUACUAUUAUGGAAGUGACAAAGACAAACAACAGAAAGGUGAAUUUGCUAUAGAUGGCUACACCGUCAGAAUGAAUAAUACCCUUCGGAAGGAUGGAAAGAAAGAUUGCUGUUUUGAAAUCGCUGCUCCUGAUAAACGCAUUUAUCAGUUUACAGCUGCUACUUCCAAGGAAGCUGUGGAAUGGGUGAAGACGUUGAGACACGCAAUACGAGACAUGGGAUCUGCAGAUAUUCUUGAGGAGGAUGAAGAAGAAUAUGAUGACAUUGAGGAAAGUGGCGUUCCUUCUCAACAACCAAGCACAGAGCCAGACGAAGAUAUUUAUGAAGAACUUCCAGAAGAAGAAGAAGCACCACCGGCCAAAGCGCCAGUGAAGGCUGAAGAGUCAAGGAAACCAAGCCAAGAGAACCUUAGCAAUCCUUCAGGCAGUAAAAAAACCGAUUAUGCUAAUUUCUAUCAAGGUAUGUGGGACUGUACCGGUGAUGUUCCUGAUGAGCUGACAUUCAAACGUGGAGACACUAUCUACAUUCUCAGCAAGGAGUACGGUAGAUUUGGCUGGUGGGUAGGAGAAAUGAAAGGAACCAUUGGCUUGGUGCCUAGAGCCUACAUAAUGGAGAUGUAUGAUAUUUGAGAGGCCCGGGUGGAAUCUAGAAAUUACGGGAAGCCAGGCAUAGAAGUAUGCCAAUGCAAAUCUGCAGGUGCCUAGAUUUUAGCAAGAGCAUUAACCCUAAUAUAUUGCACUUCUACAUAUUGAUUCUAAUGCUGUAUUUUUAUAUUUAAUGUUUAUUGUGAGUGUUGAUGUAUAAGUUAAGCUAAACUUUUUUUAAAGAAAAUCUCUGCUUAUCGUAGGACUCAAAUUAUUUUGCAUUGGAGUUAUUUUUAAAAACUGUUGCGUUCAGUCAUUUGUUAUACUUUUGCAAAACGGGCAUCACACACAGGAUAUGUAUCCUGAGCAGCUGCAGCUGAAAUGAAUGUCAGGGAAAUCUACAAGAGAUUCUGGACUGUCUCACAUUCAUUUCAACACAAGUGACGCAGAAGACAUCUCCAAAAAUUAAGCUUCUACAUUUUAUACACAGUAAAGAGUCUUGGAUGUGAAAUAUUCCUCUGGUUUCUUUCUUUUUCCUAAAUGACAUUUUACUUUAGUGGUAUUUUACAUUUUUAAUUACUUUCACAUUCUUUUAAAAUGCAAAAGUCGACGACACUGUGGUAGCAAAUAAUAUAUGAUUAGGUGAUAGAUAGAUGAUAGAUAGAUAGAUAGAUAGAUAGAU